rnacentral:rRNA from 1 species
UACGUAGGUCCCGAGCGUUGUCCGGAUUUAUUGGGCGUAAAGCGAGCGCAGGUGGUUUAUUAAGUCUGGUGUAAAAGGCAGUGGCUCAACCAUUGUAUGCAUUGGAAACUGGUAGACUUGAGUGCAGGAGAGGAGAGUGGAAUUCCAUGUGUAGCGGUGAAAUGCGUAGAUAUAUGGAGGAACACCGGUGGCGAAAGCGGCUCUCUGGCCUGUAACUGACACUGAGGUUCGAAAGCGUGGGGAGCAAACAGG